AACGCGAAGAACCUUACCAAGUCUUGACAUCCUUUGACCACCCUAGAGAUAGGGCUUUCCCUUCGGGGACAAAGUGACAGGUGGUACAUGGUUGUCGUCAGCUCGUGUCGUGAGAUGUUGGGUUAAGUCCCGCAACGAGCGCAACCCCUAUUAUUAGUUGCCAGCAUUCAGUUGGGCACUCUAAUGAGACUGCCGGUGACAAACCGGAGGAAGGUGGGGAUGACGUCAAAUCAGCAUGCCCCUUAUGACUUGGGCUACACACGUGCUACAAUGGAUGGUACAACGAGUCGCAAACCCGCGAGGGCAAGCAAAUCUCUUAAAGCCAUUCUCAGUUCGGAUUGCAGGCUGCAACUCGCCUGCAUGAAGCCGGAAUCGCUAGUAAUCGUGGAUCAGCACGCCACGGUGAAUACGUUCCCGGGUCUUGUACACACCG
rnacentral:rRNA from 1 species